rnacentral:lncRNA from 1 species
GAGAGCUGAUUACUUUGCAUANAGACACACAGAGACACAUACACACAAUAAAAAUAAGAAUUGUGAGGCUCAAGCUCUUUUUGACAGCAGGCUCAUUUCAGGCAAGAAGACUUCCCGGCACCCUUUGCACCAGGAUCUGCACUAUUUCCCCUUCAGGCCCAGCAAUCGCAUUGUGUGUGCUUGGACCGCCAUGGAGCACAUUGACCAGAACAACGGCUGUCUGGCUGUCCUCCCAGGCACCCACAAACUUCCCCUGAUGCCGCAUGACUACCCCCAGUGGGAGGUAGGUCUGUCUGACCACUGAGUCUGGAUCAGAAUCUCUUUCACUGUUGUAAUUUUACAUCAGGUGCAAAAAGCUUAGAAAUGAGACUGCUUUCCUUUCUCAGCAAAGCACUGUCCUGAAAUUUGCAAUUAGGAUCCGGGGGAGUUCAAGGACAUAAGAUCAAAUAUUCAUUAUAUUUUUCUUUCAUCAUAUGUGUGAAAGCCAGCUAGUUUGGGGACCUGGAUCUGGAGGGGCCUAGGAUCUGAGAUGGCGAGGCCUGAUGGCAGAGGUCAGACAUCAACCCUUCAACUCUGGUGUGUGUGAAGUGCCCACUGACUGAGGCUCUCAGAGUAGAGGAAGGGAGGGAGGAAUUGCCUCCUUGUCCCUGUGAGGACCAGCAGAGGCUCAGGGGUGGGAGGUGGUGACUGAGCUGAGCCUUGAAGGACAAGGUAGAUUUUCUAUCGCAAAAAGGCUCCUUGGAGGAAUCAGAGUUAUUGACAAGCGCAGAUCUGACUGUGGAGUAGGAAAGAUUGAAGGUUAUCCCAGUUCUGAUGGGCUGGGGGUAGAGGCACAUUUUAGGAAGUAGGAGAGGGAGGAGAGCCUGGAAAGGUAUGCUAGGACAGGAUUAAAAAGCACUUUAACACUUGGAGGUUACAUGAAGAAAAUGGGGUUGUUCCCUUUUUAGGAAGCAGCAAGAGCUUGUAAUUUCUAAUAAUAUGGGGUUUUGUCAUAUAGAUGGCACAUAUUUUCAGUGUAUAAUUUAAUCAUUUUGACACACAUGUACCUGGUAUCACAAUCAAGAGGAUAUUUUCUACCUCCUGCCUCAGGUAAGAACUCACCUGCUUUCUGUUCCUAUUUUUUAAUUUGCAUUUUAUAAAAUGUCGUGUAAAGUCUAAUUAAGUGGCAUAUACUUUUUUUUGAGUAAUUGCUGUUGCACAGCAUAGGUAUUUAGAGGCUCAUGAAACCUGACUCAUGUCUCAAUAGCUUGUUCCUUUCCAUUCCUGAGUAGUAUUCCGUGGCAUGGCUGAACAAUGUUUGGUUUAUCCAUUCAAAUAUUGAUGCUGGGGAGCUACUAUGUGCUUCUGCAUCCAUGAAUGAUGAGGUCCUAUCCAUUCUUCAAGAACAUGAUCUCAGGUCUGGGGCAUGAUUCAUGAUUCCCAGGAGGUAUAGGAGCUCAGAGGCAGCAAAACCAGAGAGCAGAUCUCAGCUUUUUUGAUGCCAGACCAGAAGAUCCUGAAAUCCCUGAUGAUGGUCCGAAUGGAAAGGGCAGCUGUGGUGAGCAAGGAGACUGCGUCUUGUUUCUGUAGGAUGUGAAGGCUGUGGCUUCAAGGGCUUUUCUCUCCGAAUUCUUGCACUACUGAUUGUGUUCUGUGGAAAUAUUUGAGUCUGAAUCCCAAUAUAAAAGUGGAAAUGGUGAAAUUCAUCAGUUAAGUUCUGGGACAGGCAAGGGUUGGUGCAAUCCUAAGGAGGCUGUGGCUGAUUGAGCAGAAGGGAAUGGCGUCCAAGGCUAUGGGAGCAGACUGGUGUCUGAGAUGCUGUUGAGAUUCACAGCAGUGGCAGUGGAAGGUCAGCUUAGCUUAGCAGGGGUCAAUAUGCACCUUGGCCAGGAAAGAAGGGCAGGGGGUCAAAGUCACAAUGUGAAGCACAAUGACAAUGGUAAUUGCCGAAAAGGAUACUCUUAGCUGAGGAAUGGGACCCUUCUGCCCAGAAGCAUAAAGGCUCUUCAACUGUAGUCACUUCUCUUUUUAGUUUCUAUAAUAAAGACAUACACAUUUCCUAGAGUUCUGACUACUUUUGGAAAUAGUUAUCAACAAACACAGUAUUUAAACUUACUAUUCCCUUUUUAUUCUGAAUAUGACAUAAAUCCUUUGAGCUUAGAAAAAUUGAGCAUAUUCUCCACUUGGUUUGGGGAGAAUAAUUAGCCUCUCUAAAAUACCCUGAUUUAUACAAGAAUGAUGUGAACAAAAUUCUAGGUGAGGAGAAUAUCAGGCUGGGGCAAGGAUGUUAAGAUUGAAGGUGGAAAUGCCUAAGAGAAAGGUGUUCACCUGCAUUCACCACAAGAGGCAGAACUGAUCUGAUUAUUUAUAAUUCAAUGAGGAAGGGUAGGUAAAGUUCAACAUUUUUUCAUUUGGUCAAAAAACCCGUGAACUUAUUAUUAACUUGUGAUUUUAAUUUGUAGCAUUGCUGGGGUUCAAACUCAGAGCCUUGCACAUGCUAGGCAAGCCCUCCACCACUGAGCUAUAUCCUCUGCCCUUUAUACAAAUCUUAAUUUGAGACAGAGUCUGGCUAAGUUUGCUAGUCUACCCUGAACUUGUGAUGCCUGGCCUCAGCCUCCCAAGUAGCUGGGAUCACAGGUGUGUAACACUGUACUCAUAGCAGACGAUGUUUAAAAACCCAGACAUAUCACAGACUUUUGCAUUUUUUUUUAAAUUUAAGAUUUUAAUUUUAAAGUCUUUCUCUUGGAAGAAGUCAGAGAACCCUUGCUGUCCCUGCCAAGUCAUACACAAAGCAUUGAUUUCUUCCUCCAGUGUAGACUGUGCCUGUCUUAUGUGUUCCAGGGUGGAGUUAACAGCAUGUACCAUGGGAUCCAGGACUAUGACAAAGACCAUGCCCGAGUGCACCUUGUGAUGGAGAAGGGAGACACCGUUUUCUUUCACCCUUUGCUCAUCCAUGGAUCUGGUCGGAACCAAACUCAAGGAUUCCGGAAAGUAUGCAUCCAGAUUUUAAAAGAUGGGUUCAAAACAGAAAGUCAUUUGUAUAGUAACAUGUAAAGAUUUAUGACUUUUCACUAAACUGGAUUGUUUUUUCCAGUUUACUUUCCAGAAAGUAUAUUUGCCUUUUAGUGCUUUUGUUUGUUUUGAUUUUGCUCUACUCUGUGAGAAGACAGGUGCCCUCAGGAUCCUAAACCUGUUGCUCUUGAAUCUUGGUCAUUUGUGAAAUUGCUUCAGAGCAGUAGCUCACCUUGCAGUGCACAGAUUCUGCUUUCUGAGGCAAAAACAAUGGCUGAAAUACUCAAAUAAUCACAUUUGGAAUUUAUAUUGCUCAGGGUAACUAGAACAAGAAGAAAAUUUAUCAUAUUAUUAUUGGGAAAAUAGUAUUGAUCUGAAGCAAAGGUUCUGAAUUGGCUGCUCAAAAUGAGAUUUAGCAUGCAGCCAUAUUUAUCCCCUUCCAAUCUCAUGUUUUAAAUUAAAUAAUUUUGUCACAUUUAAAAUGGACAGAAUUCCUCAAAAUUUCUCUGAUUUCUCACUUCUCUCAAAUUCAGCAGAUCUCAUAGUAUUGUCGGUUCACUUUUCCCCAAGGUAACAUGGUUGUCCAUACUAUUGAGGCUUCUUUAAGAUUCAGUGGGGUUUCCCAAUUUGUUCCCUGGUUCCCACUGAUCCCUGUUUUAACCCUGAGUAUAGGGUUGCAGACUUCAUUUAUUUAUAUUUGCACCAGGUUCACCAGGCCUGGCACAGGUUGAUACAAGUUGGAACAUUGCCUGAGGAUGAAAUUGAAGGGGCUACCAAAAUCUCAGCCAUCAAAAUAAGUGGUGUUUUACUAAAUCAAUAUUAAUGCAAAACAUCCAUGCUGUCCUCAAUGCCAAAAAUUUAAGUAAAAGACAAGAAAUACCUGCACUAGAACAACUCUCAAGUUGUGUAACUAUGGGGGUGCAGGCACAAAGAUGCAAAUAGUGAUGUCAGUUGUAGAAUAUUAAUAUUGAAAUACUUCCAUAUUUUUCAGUUAUUUUAAUGUUCUGGAAGAAUAUUUAUAAUUAUUUCCUAACAACUUGGAUGUAGGAAUAUACAACAAUUCUUUUUGCCUUGGGUCUUGAUGUGGCUCUGCUUGGCACUGGACUUGCACAGAAAUUUGAGGUUGGAUCUGCACUUUAGAAGUUCAAAAUUUUGGGCACAGCAGAAAGUUUUUAUAAAAAUUGCCAUUUCUGUAAUAACCUGUCCCAAAUUUUACUGGGUAUCUAAGCUUUAUGACUAAGAAGAUGAUGAACCACAGAGGGGUACAUUCUUUUUUUAGGACGUGGAGGUAUAUGUUCAUUGGGAAAACUUAAAUGCUUAAAAAUGUGAAGAUCGGUUACUUAGGUAGUUAUGCCCCCUGUCCUACAUAUACCUUUAAAAAGUAAAUAGUAUAGCUAGGUAAAAAAAAUCUUUUGUAAUUUCUUAAUUAGCCUUCAGUUGGGGAUAGGAUGGAGAGGCUGACCUACAAAGAGGCAGAUUUGGGAUGCCAUGGAGUGUUCUACCAGUUUAGAUGUCAAAUUCUGGGUGGAAGAAUUGACUUUCUUUGUAGACCCUUUUGGGUCUGCUAGGUAUAGAAUCAUGGAGAAUUGGCUUUCUGCAAGGAGGAACUCCUAGCUUGGUUGUUGCAUUCAUGGAGUUCUUUUCUCCAUUAUCGAUUGUUCACUCUGCACAGGCAAUUUCCUGCCAUUUCGCCAGCGCUGAUUGCCACUACAUUGACGUGAAGGGCACCGUUCAAGAAAAUAUCGAGAAAGAAGUUUUGGGAAUAGCAGACAGAUUGUAUGGAACUGAAAGUGGCUUAAACUUUAAGGUACACUUGCAUGAAAAAAAUCAAGAUGCCUGAAGUUUCUUGUUUUCAUGUGCUUAAUUCAUUCCUAAUUUAAUUUAAAAUUAAGGAUAAGGGGAAUUCUAUAUGCAUAGGAGCAAACUUAAAGGUUUGGGACUUCAAUCGGGCCUCCUUUCUUGGCAAAGUAUAUUUUUAUUAGGAAAUCCAGUCAGACUCCACAGAGCAGUUCUGGGGUCAGUGUUCCUUUCGGUAAAUGUGCAUCUGGAGUUUUAUGAGAGGCAUAAUGUGCAUGGAGCAGGGAUGAAUACAUCUAAGGGGGCAUUAGAUAGUGUUCCAUGUGCUUUCCUAAUUGAUACACAUCACUUGGAAAGUGUCUGUUUUUAAGUGGUGGAUAUUCCAUGAUGCUGAUGAGCAGAAGGCAAAUUAUCAAUCCAGGGAAUUAAAUAAACAUCUUCACUUUAUAUAAAACACACAUUUUAGGCCCUGAAUGAAGAAGCUCUUCCUAUUUAUGUUAUUGGUAUGAGAUAAUGAUAAUGCAGGCAUGCCCCUUCCCUCAAGAGACUGAGAGUGAUGAUGACUCUGGGCCAUCCAGGAUGUUGUAAGGCUCAGCACAUCAGAGGGAUGCCACAGUGCCAUUGCGAACCUUUGGAAUAGCUUUCCAGGGUGGAGAAUCUUGCUUCUCCUUUUAGAACCUACCAAUAUGUCCCUUGUCUAAAAAUGCUCCAUGAUUGGGGAUUCAACCAAGUGAAAUAUUGGAAAAAUAUUCAGAAUAUUAAACAAUAUUUGAAAAAAAAUUGCAUCUGUACUGAACAUGUACAGACAUUUUUUUCCUAAUCAUUAUUUCCUACCUAAAAACUACCUCAUGUUUCUAUUGCACCAGGUGCUCUAAGUAAUCUAGGGGUGAUUUAAAAUAUAUGGGAGGAUGUACAGAGGUUAUUUUAUUGUGGGGAUGUGAGCACCCAUGAAUUUUGGUAGCUGAGGGGUCCUGGAAUGUACAUUACAUUUGAAGUUUGUGAAGGUUGUCCUGGAUGAACACCACUAUUUUAGUAUCUCAUAAGUUAGAGCUUAUCAGAUAUAUUUAGAGUAACAAUAGAAUAGAAUAACAAUACAAACUCAUAUAAUUCUAACUUGUAAAAACACUUCCAUGGGGCUGGGGUUGAGACUCAGUGGUAGAGUGCUCACUCAGCAUGUGCAAGCGCUGGGUUCAAUCCUCAGCACCACAUAAAAAUAAAUAAAUAAAAUAAAGGUAUUAUGUCCAAUUACAAAUCAAAGAAUUUGAAAAAACAAAAACACAUCCAUGUCCCAUUUCUGAUUUUCUUUACUAGAAUGCAGUGAACACCUGCUGUAAAGGAGAAAUUGGAGUCCCAGAGACUGGCCUAAGAAACAGAGCUAGAUUUCAAGUCAGGCCUAAUUUUGAAAUCAUUCUUUUCACCAUACCUUGCUGUAUGCUCAACAAUAAAAAAGAAACAAGAAAUUAGAAGGUCUCAAUUGCUUUAUUAAUAAUUGCAGCAGGGUGCUUGUGGCACAUGCCUAUAAUCCCAGCUACUUCACAGCUUGGCUGAGGCAGGAGGAUUGUAAGUGAGGCCAGCCUCAACAACUUAGUGAGCCCCUGUCUCAAAAUGGAAAAUAAAAAGCCUGGGGAUAUAGAUCAGUGGAGAGUGGCCCUGGGUUCCAUUUCCAGUACCCCCUCCCCAGACCCAAGUAAACCAGUAUCCGUGACACCAUGUUCACUACUACGAUCUCAUCAGAGUUGCAACCUCAAAGUGGUUCAGGCAAGUAACAAAAAGACAAGCUGAGAGAAGGGUUGUAAACUGCUGUGACUGAGCAUCACAGCCACCCUCCCUGGUGCAUUACCUGGUACAUUACUGUGAUCAGGGAGGCCAAAAGCUUGAGGAUCCACCGACUCCGUGCAGUUGGCAUUGUUUUAAUUGUUGGCAAGAUAAUUAAUUGCAGUUUCAAAGCUUGUUUAUUUAUUAAUCAAUAUAAUAAUCAUAGCAUUGUUUUCCUUUUUAAGCAUUUGUAGAGCCUAGAAAUCUCUUGUGGGGAAUAGGCCAAUGGAUGUGUUCCACACACUCAUUCUGUUUGGUAUUAUUUCCAGGAUAUUUGGAUGUUUCGAGGCCGACUUGUGAAAGGAGAAAGAAUCACCCUUUGAAACAGUCCUUGAUUAUAACUCUUUCAAAAGGAGAUCAAAGAAACAAGGAGUCUAAGGAAUAUGUUUUCAUAUGGGAUGAUGUAAUGUUUUCUAUCACUUGGUACCAAAAUCAAGAAACACGCCUUGGGAACUUCAUUUUGCAGAGUUAAUUUUGCAGUGCAGUGAUGUUACUUUAGUGGAAGUAAGAAUAGUAAAAUGAAAUAUAACUGUUUUCAGAAAGACUGGUUUGGGAUUACAAUCAAUAAAUGUGCCAUAUGAUUUACGUAUGUUCAAUCAGUUCCUCUCAUUGAUUAGCUGUUUUUCCCGGCAGAAAUGAAUUCCCUGAAACUCAGUGUGCACUGAGAUGAGCAUGCCUCUCCUAGUAAAGCCAACACUUCCCCAUUUAAUGUCAUGAGAGAUUUCAAACUAGAACCAUGUGAAGUACAUUCACAUUUGGUGAAGGGCGUACCAAGGCCAUCGUGGGAUCAAAAUAAGGUGGGUCCUCAUUCUCUGACCCAGGCUUCCUUCCAAGACUUCUUCAAUCCAGCUACUCUCCUUCAAAACCAGAAUAUUUUUUCAAAAAAUUUCUUUUGUUUCUAAGGAAUGUAGAUAAGGGCACCUUCCCAGAUAUUUCCUGUUAAGUAGGGGAACUGAAAGUCUUCAGAAUUUAUGAAUGAAACCUAAGCUUUUUUGAGGACCAGAAACAUUUUAAGAUACUCUAGGCUGAACUGGGAGUGAGCUUGGAUUAGGGAUUCAUUUAAUGGGCCUGGGAUUGUGGCUCAGCGGUAGAGUGCUCAUUCAGCACCAUAUUUCUAUACCAGUUGAGUCUGUGCAACCACUCUGGAAAGAAGUAUGGAGAGUCCUUAAAAAACUAGGAACCAUUUAACCCAGUUAUCCCACUCCUUGGUAUAUAUCCAAAAGUUUUAAAAUCAGUAUACUACAGUAAUAUAGCCACCUCAAUAUUUAUAGCAGCACAAUUCAUAAUAUCUAGGCUAUGGAACAGACCUAUGUGCCCUUCAAUAGAUGAAUGGAUAAAGAAAUUGUGGUAUAUAUGUACAAUGGAAUAUUACUUGGCCAUAAAGAAGAUAUUCACUUGUAAAUGGGUGGAUCUGGAGACUAUCAAGCUAAGUGAAUUAAGUCAAAUCCCCCAAAAGCCAAAGAUUGAUAUUCUCUGAUACAUGGAUGCUAACUUACAAUAAGUUGUGAGGGAACAGAAAUUCAGUAGUUUAAACACAGGUGAAUGAAGGGUGGGAGAUAGGAAUAGGAAAGACAGUGGAAUUCUUCUGACAUAACUUUUUAUAUGUACAUACACGAACACACCAGAGUGAAUCUCAACAUUGUGUACAUCCACAAGACUGGAAUCCUGAUUAGAAUAAGAUGUAUUCCUUGUUUGUAAAAAUAUAUCAAAAAUAGAUUCUCCUGUCAUUUAUUACUAAAGAGAACAUUAAAAAAUUCUCUUAGGAGCUGGGGUUGUGGCUCAGUGGUAGAGUGCUUGCCUAGCAUGCAUGAGGCACUGGGUUCGAUCCUCAGCACCACAUAAAUGUAAAAUAAAGAUAUUGUCUCCACCUAAAACUAAAAAAUAAAUAUUAAAAAAUUCUCUUAAAGACAAAAACAUGGUUCUUAUUUUUAAAAAUUAUAUUUAUGGCUUGAUUAAGAAUAAAACAGCCAGUUCCUUUCUUGUUAUUCUGCUGAGCAGAGGUUUUCCUAAGGCUUGUGUUACCAUGUUUGUUAGUUUCUUAGCCCCAGCUGGAAAGGAGAGAAGGCAAGAGAAUCAUGAAAGGGCCUAAGGAAAGGAUUCUUAGAAGGAUGGAAACUAAAAGGUAAAUAAGGAAUGCCAGUGCAAACAGCAUGCAGGAAGCAGGGCUUGUAUCUAGAAUGAACCUCCAACUAGUUUCAACCUGAAUUUCUUUCCCUGCCUGGGCCUCCCAAGAAACUGUGAUUACAGGUGUGCUCCCCUGAGCCCUGCUCCAAUCCAACGAGGAAAACCAGAUUCCAGGGAAAACAGCACAGUUAGUCCCCAAUGCAUCUGUGAGUGAAAGCCAACUGUUCAAUCAGGAAACAUGCACUUCUCAUCUCAUCUGUGUCCCUUCUGUCCCUUAGUUCACAUAUGAAUCUGCAGGCGCCCACUCUGUAGUGGGAGGGGAAUGACAGCAGGAUGACUAGGGCUGCUUUUCACCCGUGUGCACCCUCCUUGGGAAGGACGGGAGCAAACUCCUGGUGGAACAUGAAGAGAUGGGACAAAACACCUUGGCAGAAUGAG